UGGACGGACCACAACCUUGGACUCUUCAUUGGACGUGUUUGCGAGAUUUACUUUCUUUAGUCAUGAUUAUGAAUGAGAUAUGUGUUAGUUAGAUCAAACAAAUACUAUUUCAUGUAUUUUACAGUGUCAGUGAUGAAUACAAUCCUCUUUAUGCCAAUGCUUUGUAGCAACAUAGGUCCGUUCUGAAUAUUUGAAUGCCUCAGAACCAACCGGCAGAUUUAGCUGGCAAGGGGAAGCCAUCACUUUGGAUCAGCUAGUCGUUGGUCAGACGAGAGGAGACCAGGACUGUCUACAAUGGCCUUGCCAAGAGCCACAUCUUUCACCCCAGCAGUGAGGUUACUGGGCUCCUGCUACAAACAGACGCCCUUCGUCCCUCACCUGUCCGCUGGAUGGAGGGACAUAUCUGGGGGAGAGUACAGGCGACCAGGCCAACCGCGAUACAACACCCCCAUAUGGAAAAGGUUUGACUUCCACAAAGGAGUGCAGGGGAUGCAGAAGCAUUUUACACUGCUCAAGGAGGAGUUUCUGAGCCGUUGGAUAGGACCGGAGGGGAAGCCGCUGGUUGAACAUAUGCUGGAGCAGACCCGGGUGAUCUGGGAGUUUAGAGGGCCAGAGAGCCUGGACCAGUGGACAGUGUCUUCAGACUGUGAGAUCGGUGGAAGGAGUGAGGCAUAUCUGAAGCUAGGCAGGAACAAUACUACUUGUCUGCUGUAUGGAACCCUCUGCUCAGUCCCCCCCAGGGAUGGGGAAACACGCUAUAGUGGUUACUGCACAAUGCGAUCCAAACCACCCAAGGGUUCGUUCGAUAGUAAGAAGCAUCAUGACUGGACGAGCUUCAACACCUUGCACCUCCGCAUCCGUGGCGACGGGCGUCCGUGGAUGAUCAAUGUGGGGGCUGAGACCUACUUCUCCCACCAGAAGGAUGAUAUGUACAGCUACUUCCUUUACACGCGGGGUGGACCUUACUGGCAGGACGUUAAGAUUCCUUUCUCCAAGUUUUUCCUUUCCAGUCGUGGUAGGAUACAAGAUGAUCAACAUCCUCUCUGGUUGGACAAGAUCAACACUGUUGGAUUCACGUUGGGUGAUAAGGCCGACGGGCCAUUUCAGCUGGAGAUUGAUUUCGUAGCGGUGUGUAACGACCGGGCCCACACAGAGCAAUUUGCCUAUGAAGCAUACAAGAGGAACCCUGAAGUUUAGAUGGCAACAAACACCCCCAAUGAAGAGCUCCAGUGUUUUAGAAAAGGCCUUUACUACCUGUAUUUACAUUGGCUUUUCUUGGUUGUCUCUCUGCGCUGGGCUCCUGUGACUGGUCUUCAGGGACAGUAGCAGCCAACCCGCCCACACCAGAAUCAUU